rnacentral:rRNA from 1 species
UACGGAGGGUGCAAGCGUUGUUCGGAAUCACUGGGCGUAAAGGGCGUGUAGGCGGCCAACUAAGUCCGACGUGAAAUCCCCAGGCUUAACCUGGGAACUGCGUCGGAUACUGGAUGGCUUGAAUCCGGGAGAGGGAUGCGGAAUUCCAGGUGUAGCGGUGAAAUGCGUAGAUAUCUGGAGGAACACCGGUGGCGAAGGCGGCAUCCUGGACCGGCAUUGACGCUAAAGCGCGAAAGCCAGGGGAGCAAACGGG